CAUAUCUCAACUAGAAGAAGCGUCAACUUCACAAUUUCAGAAAUAUCCUACUCUGUUUGAUUCGCUGGAACAGGGUAUAUUUCAUGACCAGCCAUGAGUUCAUCUGACGAGGAAUCCCUGGAGAAGCUGAGUGUGUAUUUCAGCACGUCAGAAUGGUCUCAGCUGUCAUUUUGGGAAAAGAAGAGGUACAAGAGGAUGAAAAGAAACUACCUCUUCAUGCAAUCAAUAGGUCUGUCGUCUCAAGCUCCAGAGUUCAUGAGGAAGAGGGGCGGGACUAAAAGACAGAGGGCCACGCCCCCAACACCACCGAGUGACACCAGUGACUCUGAA